rnacentral:lncRNA from 1 species
CUCAGAGACAAAAAUGUAGAUUCAGAUAUUGCUAACAUUUAUCAUCACCCUGUUUCUUGGUAAAAAAUGUUAACUACUGUCUACUUUCCAAGAGGUGUAGGCUGCAUAAAUAUUAUCAAUGAACAUCAUCGCUGAACCAAUUGGAUGCAUAACUGCUAUUUCAAACAUGUUAUGCAAGCUCUGUGCUUCAAAAGAAAAGUUGUUUUGGUCUUUGAGAAUCAAAAUAAAACAAAAAAAGGCUAAAUACUUGUUGCAAGACAUGUAAGCCCUAAACUCGGAUAUUGUCCCUCAACUAGGCUUUGGAAGAAAUCCAGAAUCUUCAAGAUUACUGAAAAUGCUACAUCUUGAACUUCAAUUCUGUAUUGGUUGGUAAUAUUUUGCCACGGUGAUUGAAUAUCAUGAAGUCCAGGUUGGCUGGGAAGUAAACAAUCCUGCAUUUCGAUAUAGAAUGACAUCAGGAUGAAAACCAUGAUGUGUGUUUACUAUAUCUGUCUUAUGUCAGUGUAAGCGUGAUCUGUAUAUGUGCGUGAUGUGAGAAAAAUAAAUAAAUUCACCUGCACUUGGCUAUUUAGCCCUCAUGAGAGAGAGAGGGGGGGAUAACUAAAUAAAUUCACCAAUGAUUGGCUAUUUAGCCCUAACAUAGGACUUACCGCAGGUU